rfam:Myotis brandtii contig245363, whole genome shotgun sequence.
GGCCUCCCUCUGUGGGGCUAUUAAUUGCGGUGCUCCGUGAUCAAUUGCCCCGCAGAGGGAGGCC